AUAUAAGAUUUUUGAAACAACAAAGAAAUUGAGAAAGUAGAUGGAGUUGAUGAUAAAAGUGAUAAUGAAAGAGGUGACUUUGAAAGGAGAGAAAAGAUGGUUUUAUGGUUUGGACCAGAGGAUUCUUGGUUGAAUCAAAAAAUGAAAUGAAUAACUGAAGACUUCUUUAUGAAGCCUGGUGCUUAAUCUAACAUCACACUUAAUCUUUAUUAUAAAAUGAAUGGAAAUUUAGUUUUAAUAGUGUGAAAAUGAGAAUUCAGAAAAAAUUCAAAAUGUAUAAGGGAAUGCUAUACAAUGCAAAUUAGUACCAGAUGUUUAUUUUGAAAAAUAUUUGGUUUGAAUGUAUGACAACAGAAUGUUAAAGAUUAAAUAAUGCUGAAGUUGAAUUAAACUGAAUUGGAUUUAUUAUAUUCAAACCAUUAAGAGGUGGGAAAUGGAAUGAAGGAACCUAUCCACUUCAUCAAAAGGCAGAAAUGGAAACAAGAAAAACAAAAGGAAGAAGAAGAAAUUAUGGUUAAAAAUAAAAUGACAGGAAUAAGUCCAUUUAUAUUUACAAUAAAUAUAAAUGGGUUAAUUUUAUAAAUAAACAUGGAGAGGUACUUAGUAUUUAAAAAAAUUUUUUUGGCAUAAGAAAAGUACAGCAUAAGAAACUUGAAACUAUUAGGGUAAAAUUUUUAUAAGACUAAUCAAAGGAAAGCUACAUUGGCAUCUUGUACAGUUAUACAUUAUUUAAUACGAGGGAUAUAUUCUGAUAAAAGGUUGUUAGAUGAUUUCAUUACAUUGAUAACAUAGUGUCCUUACAGAAAUUACCAAGUCACUGAGAAAAACUUAUGGGAUCACCACUGUAUAUAUCACAUGUCACUUGCCAUAAUGUUGUUAUAUGGUAUAUGACUAAGAGUAAAAGCAUAAAAAGAAGAAAUAUAUUAAUAAAGGAUUGGGUCUAUAAAAUACAUUAUUGAACUAUUCAAACUGAAGAUAUGAACUAAGUUAAUAGUACUAAACAAGAAAGUUUUGACAGCUUAUAAUCACAGUAAAUGCUAUAAAUCCAUUUAUCUCAGAAAUAAGCAGUUUAAAUUUUUAAAAUGAGAGAAUGUGGAGGACUUAGAUCACAUAACACAUAAUUUGGAAAAUAACAGGCAUAAAUUCUACUAAAACAAAAGACAUUUUUGUUUUAGGCAUAAAUUCUACUAAAACACACACAUGACUUUUCUGUUUUAUUCAUGAUUCCAGAACCAAGAAAAGUUGGAGAGAUAUCCAGUGUACUUUAUGAACUUACAAAGUCCUAUUACUAAAUCUGAACAACAACAACAAAAAAACAACAAAAAAUACUUACAUAGAUGGAAAGUUCUUUUAUUUAGUAGAGUUACUAGAAAACAAUCAUGGUUUUUGCUGUUAACUAUAAUCAUUAUAUAAAAUAAUGGAUUUUAUUUGAACAUUUUCAUAUGUAAUCCAUUUUAAUAAUAUUCUUUCCCAUAUUACCCUCUCUUGUUUUUCAUUGCAUUCCUGAUAGCCAGAGAUGCCAGAAACAUUAAAAGGACAUUGAAUGUUCAUGAGCUUAAAACUUUUAUAAGCUUCCUAGAAACCAGUGUGUGAGUAUGUAUAUGAGUAUGUGCCUGUGUGUAUCUUGAGAAAACUGCUAACAAAUAUGGACUGGAAGAAAGGAUAAGAUCACUUAUUUUAGUAGUCACAUCCAGUGGAUGUGGGAAGAAAAAUGGAAAUAAUUUAAAUGUACUUCAAUUGGAAAAUAAAUAAAUGAAUAAAAAGAACAAGG
rnacentral:lncRNA from 1 species